UCCGGUUGAUCCUGCCGGACCCGACUGCUAUCAGAAUAGGACUAAGCCAUGCGAGUCAACGUAGCAAUACGUGGCAUACGGCUCAGUAACACGUAGUCAACAUGCCCAGGGGACGUGGAUAACCUCGGGAAACUGAGGAUAAACCGCGAUAGGCCAUAAUAUCUGGAAUGAUUUAUGGCUUAAAUCUAUAUGGCCCCUGGAUUGGACUGCGGCCGAUCAGGCUGUUGGUGAGGUAAUGGCCCACCAAACCUAAAACCGGUACGGGCUCUGAGAGGAGAAGCCCGGAGAUGGGCACUGAGACAAGGGCCCAGGCCCUAUGGGGCGCAGCAGGCGCGAAAACUCUCAAUAAGCGAAAGCUUGACAGGGUUAUUCUGAGUGAUUUCCGCUAAGGAAAUCUUUUGGCACCUCUAAAAAUGGUGCAGAAUAAGGGGUGGGCAAGCCUGGUGUCAGCCGCCGCGGUAAAACCAGCACCCCGAGUGGUCGGGACGAUUAUUGGGCCUAAAGCAUCCGUAGCCGGUUCUACAAGUCUUCCGUUAAAUCCACCUGCUCAACAGUUGGGCUGCGGAGGAUACUAUAGAGCUAGGAGGCGGGAGAGGCAAGCGGUACUCAGUGGGUAGGGGUAAAAUCCGUUGAUCCAUUGAAGACCACCAGUGGCGAAGGCGGCUUGCCAGAACGCACUCGACGGUGAGGGAUGAAAGCUGGGGGAGCAAACCGGAUUAGAUACCCGGGUAGUCCCAGCUGUAAACGAUGCAGACUCGGUGAUGAAUAGGCUUCGUGCCUAUUCAGUGCCGCAGGGAAGCCGUUAAGUCUGCCGCCUGGGGAGUACGGUCGCAAGACUGAAACCUAAAGGAAUUGGCGGGGGAGCACCACAAGGGGUGAAGCCUGCGGUUCAAUUGGAGUCAACGCCGGAAAUCUUACCGGGGGCGACAGCAGAAUGAAGGUCAAGCUGAAGACUUUACCAGACAAGCUGAGAGGAGGUGCAUGGCCGUCGCCAGCUCGUGCCGUGAGGUGUCCUGUUAAGUCAGGUAACGAGCGAGAUCCCUGCCUCUAGUUGCUACCAUUGCUCUCAGGAGUAGUGGGGCUAAUUAGAGGGACUGCCGUCGCUGAGACGGAGGAAGGAGGGGGCUACGGCAGGUCAGUAUGCCCCGAAACCCUCGGGCCACACGCGGGCUGCAAUGGUAAGGACAAUAAGUUCCUAUUCCGAAAGGAGGAGGUAAUCUC
rnacentral:rRNA from 1 species